rnacentral:rRNA from 1 species
UACGUAGGGUGCAAGCGUUGUCCGGCAUUAUUGGGCGUAAAGCGCUCGUAGGCGGUUUGUCGCGUCGAAUGUGAAAACCCGGGGCUCAACCCCGGGCCUGCAUUCGAUACGGGCAGACUAGAGUUCGGUAGGGGAGUCUGGAAUUCCUGGUGUAGCGGUGAAAUGCGCAGAUAUCAGGAGGAACACCGGUGGCGAAGGCGGGACUCUGGGCCGAUACUGACGCUGAGGAGCGAAAGCGUGGGGAGCAAACAGG